rfam:Camelus ferus unplaced genomic scaffold scaffold47321, whole genome shotgun sequence.
GAAGGUAUAGCUCACGUGGUAGAGCACAUGCUUGGUGUGCAUGAGAUCCUGGGUUCAAUCCCCAGUAUCUCUA